UACGUAGGGAGCAAGCGUUGUCCGGAAUCAUUGGGCGUAAAGCGCGCGUAGGCGGCCCGAUAAGUCCGCUGUGAAAGUCAACGGCUCAACUGGGGAGGGUCACGCGAUACUGAUCGACUCGAAGGCAGGAGAGGGUAGUGGAAUUCCCGGUGUAGUGGUGAAAUGCGUAGAUAUCGGGAGGAACACCAGUGGCGAAGGCGACUACCUGGCCUGUUCUUGACGCUGAGGCGCGAAAGCUAGGGGAGCAAACGGG
rnacentral:rRNA from 1 species